ACUCCUACGGGAGGCAGCAGUGGGGAAUAUUGCACAAUGGGGGAAACCCUGAUGCAGCGACGCCGCGUGAGUGAAGAAGUAUUUCGGUACGUAAAGCUCUAUCAGCAGGGAAGAAAAUGACGGUACCUGACUAAGAAGCCCCGGCUAACUACGUGCCAGCAGCCGCGGUAAUACGUAGGGGGCAAGCGUUAUCCGGAUUUACUGGGUGUAAAGGGAGCGUAGACGGCAGGGCAAGUCUGGAGUGAAAGCCCGGGGCUCAACCCCGGGACUGCUUUGGAAACUGCCUAGCUAGAGUGCAGGAGAGGUAAGAGGAAUUCCUAGUGUAGCGGUGAAAUGCGUAGAUAUUAGGAGGAACACCAGUGGCGAAGGCGUCUUACUGGACUGUAACUGACGUUGAGGCUCGAAAGCGUGGGGAGCAAACAGGA
rnacentral:rRNA from 1 species